rnacentral:rRNA from 1 species
ACGAGAAUAGUCGACAAUGGGCGAAAGCCUGAUCGUGCGACGCCGCGUGAUUGAUGAAGUCUUUCGGGAUGUAAAAAUCUUUUAUAGACGACUAAGUUAUUGAAGAGUCUAUGAAUAAGGGGUUGCUAAACUCGUGCCAGCAGCAGCGGUAAUACGAGUGCCCCGAGCGUUAUCCGGAAUUAUUGGGCGUAAAGGGUGUGUAGGCGGUUUUGUUAGUCUGGUGUUAAAGCUCUCGGCUCAACCGAGAAAGUGCAUUGGAAACGGCAAAACUAGAGGAUGCGAGAGGUGAACAGAACUCAUAGUGUAGGGGUGAAAUCCGUUGAUAUUAUGGGGAAUACCAAAUGCGAAGGCAGUUCACUGGCGCACUCCUGACGCUGAAACACGAAAGCGUGGGUAGCGAAUGGGAUUAGAUACCCCCGUAGUCCCUGAGCGGGCUGGCAAGGCGCAU